GUUUGAUCCUGGCUCAGAAUCAACGCUGGCGGCGUGCCUCAGACAUGCAAGUCGAACGCGAAAGCUCCCUUCGGGGAGCAAGUAGAGUGGCGCACGGGUGAGUAACACGUAGGUAAUCUACCUUUGGAUGGGGAAUAACAACCGGAAACGGUUGCUAAUACCGCAUAAUGCAGCGGCACCUAAUGGUGACAGUUGUUAAAGCGGGGGAUCGCAAGACCUCGCGUCUGAAGAGGAGCCUGCGGCGGAUUAGCUAGUUGGUAGGGUAACGGCUUACCAAGGCGAUGAUCCGUAGCCGGCCUGAGAGGGCGGUCGGCCACACUGACACUGACAUACGGGUCAGACUCCUACGGGAGGCAGCAGUCGGGAAUUUUGGGCAGUGGGCGAAAGCCUGACCCAGCAACGCCGCGUGAAGGAUGAAAUCCCUCGGGAUGUAAACUUCGCAAGAACGGGAAGAAUAAGUCGGUGUCAACACCACCGGCGAUGACGGUACUGUUUGUAAGCUCCGGCUAACUCCGUGCCAGCAGCCGCGGUAAUACGGGGGGAGCAAGCGUUGUUCGGAUUUACUGGGCGUAAAGGGCGCGUAGGCGGCCACCGCAAGUCGACUGUGAAAUCUCCGGGCUUAACCCGGAACGGUCAGCCGAUACUGCGGGGCUAGAGUGCAGAAGGGGCAACUGGAAUUCUCGGUGUAGCGGUGAAAUGCGUAGAUAUCGAGAGGAACACCUGCGGCGAAGGCGGGUUGCUGGGCUGACACUGACGCUGAGGCGCGAAAGCUAGGGGAGCGAACGGGAUUAGAUACCCCGGUAGUCCUAGCCUUAAACGAUGAAUGCUUGGUGUCUGGGGUUUCAUAGUCCCCGGGUGCCGUCGCUAACGCUUUAAGCAUUCCGCCUGGGGAGUACGGUCGCAAGA
rnacentral:rRNA from 1 species